UGAGGAAUUUUCCGCAAUGGGCGAAAGCCUGACGGAGCAAUGCCGCGUGGAGGAAGAAGGCCUGUGGGUCGUAAACUCCUUUUUUCAGAGAAGAAGUUCUGACGGUAUCUGAAGAAUAAGCUCCGGCUAACUCUGUGCCAGCAGCCGCGGUAAUACAGAGGGAGCAAGCGUUAUCCGGAAUGAUUGGGCGUAAAGCGUCUGUAGGUGGUUUAGAAAGUCUACUGUCAAAUACCAAGGCUCAACCUUGGGCAGGCAGUAGAGUACUUUUAGACUAGAGUGUGGUAGAGGUAGAGGGAAUCCCUAGCGUAACAGUGAAAUGUGUAGAUUUUAGGGAGAACACCAGCGGCGAAGGCGCUCUACUGGGCCAAGACUGACACUGAGAGACGAAAGCUAGGGGAGCGAAUAG
rnacentral:rRNA from 1 species